ensembl:lncRNA
CCGUAUCUGUGGGUGGAGUUGGAGCAGCUGGGGCCCUCUGUCGGGGACUGUGGGGACUGAUGGUUCUUGGAGAUUUGGCGGAAGGAAGUAGCGGAUGGAGUUCUUUGGUUCCAGUUUAGAAUCCAGAACAAGCCCAGUGUUUCUUCUGUCCUCUUGGUGGGCGGGUGGAACUCUAAGGACAAUGGCUAAGGCUCUGGCCUCUGUUGGGCUCAGGGGAGAGCUGCCCACGGGUUUCCCAUGGAGACCGUAAUUCUUAGUGAGAGAAGGGAACUUACCGCAUGGAAAUUCCCACUUCCUCCAAGACCAGCACAUACAGUGCCAGCCCAGACAAUUCUGUGUGUGGAGAAUGGGAAGGCCCGCCCUGGCUGUGAGUGCUACCUCCCCUAAGGCCAUGCAGCCUGGAUAGACUAUAAGGGACCGAAAGAAGGCUGCUGCUGCUGUCACUUGCUGCUUGUUCGCAACUUCACUUCUUUGCUGCCUUCUGCCCACUAUGAACUGUUUCUCCUCUGGGUUUCCUCUCUGCCAGCCUGGCAUCCUCUGUGAUGCCAGCCUGCCUUGGAGCCAGCUUAGUGUGGAUUGAAACCUCUACAAACUGUGAGCUACGAUAAAUCUUUC